rnacentral:lncRNA from 1 species
GUGAGCAAAAUAUAAUCUUUCUUAUUUCCUAUAACUGAAUUUUAUUACUAUCCGGAGCCCCCACCCUAUCUGGCUGCGGUAAACCUAAUCCUGUCCAAUGGAGGAUUAACUUGGACAAUUCAGGAAGGACUCAGCAAAUUCAGGGUUUCGUUGGUUAUUUCAUGGCCUCUUCCCUUCUGCCUUCUUCUCUGAGUUGCAUCUGAUUUCUGGGAGGCUUCCAGAGCAUCACGGGUGACCUUGACACUCCUUCCAUUGAGUAGCGGGUUCUACGCUCCCUUCCCUUGAACCUGAGCAGAACUUUAUGACUGCCUUGACCAAUAGAGUAAGGCAGAAGAAACCUUAUGUGACUUCCAAGGCCAGAUCAUUUAAAUGCCCUGCAUUUCCACCGUCCUCGCUUGGGACACUUGCUCUUGGCACCCAGACCCCAUGCUAUGAAAAUUCUAAGGUUCUCAUGGAAGGACUCGUGGAGAGGAACCAAGAUCCCCGGCUUUGCCUUAGCUGAGCUCCUACCCACAGCCAGCACCCACUUGCCAGCCAUAUGAAUGAACUGUCUUGAAAACGGAGCCUCCUAACAGCCUCCAGCCCCCAGCCCCCAAGCCAUCCCAGCUGAGGGGCCUUCUACAUCAAACUCUGCCCAACUCGCAGAACACUGAGCAAGACAGAUGAAUGCUGUUGUUUUGGGCCUCUCAGUUUCUCAGUGGUUUGCUAUGCAGCAAUAAAUAACUGAUACAGUGCUUCUCAGCCCUAAUUCUCUCCUUUCUCCUCAUUUCUCUCUCUUCCCAGGGAGAUUUUAUCAUUUCCGUAAUAACAAAACUGCCUCUUCAUCUACCCUUUCCAAUUUUUUUAUUAUGGCAUAAACCUUACGCCCCAAACUCUUCAGCACUUAAGCUUUUGAAACCAUAAAAAGCCUCGCUCUCAUAAGGCAAAAGCCUUGGCUUUCAAACUUAUUGCCAGGUGCCGGGAGUUUCCAAAGCCAGUUUUGAAACUCAAAAGCUGAGCGUUGUCUUUUUUUCCUUCUUCUUCUGUGCAUUCCUGCUGUCUCAGCCUUCUCCUGAGGGCGGUCAGGAUGGAAGGCAGCGGCCCCCGGUGGGAAGGACAGCGAUGUGAGAAAUUUCCAGGUGUGGCAGAAUGCACUGAAUAGGAUUUUAUAACAUCCUCACGUUAUUUUUUACCAAAGCAGAUGCAAAUCUCCUGUGUGCAAGACUAUCCCGUUCCUUU